rnacentral:miRNA from 1 species
CACAGCGAUCUCCACCUCCUCCGCAUCGUCGUCCUGCGUCAGCUGCUCCUGUGAGACACAGAGAGGUGAGGCUCAGCCGGGACACUCACGGGGAGGGGAGGGGGGGGAG